GACUAAGGUUGCUGUUUCCAUUAUUAUAUAAUUUCAAAGAUCACAAUGGGUCUAUAUUAAGAUUGUUUAUUUACAGCGGAAUGAUAUACAAAGUCAACAGAUCUCACUGAAUACAAAAUAAGAUUUAUGGCUACACAAACCGUUGAGGGUAGUUCUAGAUCUGGUCCAAGACGAACUGUUGUAGGGGAUUUUUUGAAACCAUUGAAUUCGGAAUAUGGUAAGGUAGCCCCUGGAUGGGGAACGACUCCUUUGAUGGGUGUCAUAAUGGCUUUGUUGCGAUAUUCUUAUCUAUUAUUUUGGAGAUUUAUAAUUCUUCCGUUUUACUGGAUGGAAUUUCAAUGAAUUAGAUUCACAAGAAUCACGAAGCCUCGCGUUUCAAUACAAAAAUUGAAACUUUUAGUUCUCAGAUUUUUUAGCCCCAUUCUAUUUCGGUAAUUCGACCGCGAAAUUUAUUUGUUUCUGUAUUUCCGGAAUAUGAGUGUGUGACUUGUUAUAAUUGAUCCUAUUGAUAGUACAGAAAAUGGGUCUGUCAUCUUGAUCGAGAUAGUUUUAUCCCGUCGGAUAGUCAUUCUAGUAUCUGGAGCAC